CCUACGGGUGGCAGCAGUGGGGAAUAUUGCACAAUGGGGGAAACCCUGAUGCAGCAACGCCGCGUGGGUGAAGAAGUAUUUCGGUAUGUAAAGCUCUGUCAGCAGGGAAGAAGAUGACGGUACCUGAUUAAGAAGCCCCGGCUAACUACGUGCCAGCAGCCGCGGUAAUACGUAGGGGGCAAGCGUUAUCCGGAUUUACUGGGUGUAAAGGGAGCGUAGACGGUAAUGUAAGUCUGGAGUGAAAGCCCGGGGCCCAACCACGGGACUGCUUUGGAAACUGUGGAACUGGAGUGCAGGAGGGGUAGGCGGAAUUCCUGGUGUAGCGGUGAAAUGCGUAGAUAUUAGGAGGAACACCGGCGGCGAAGGCGGCUUGCUGGACUGAAACUGACGUUGAGGCUCGAAAGCGUGGGGAGCAAACAGGAUUAGAUACCCGGGUAGUC
rnacentral:rRNA from 1 species